rnacentral:rRNA from 1 species
ACCUACGGGAGGCAGCAGUGGGGAAUAUUGCACAAUGGGCGAAAGCCUGAUGCAGCAACGCCGCGUGAAGGAAGAAGGCCUUCGGGUCGUAAACUUCUGUCCUUGGGGAAGAAGAACUGACGGUACCCAAGGAGGAAGCCCCGGCUAACUACGUGCCAGCAGCCGCGGUAAUACGUAGGGGGCAAGCGUUAUCCGGAAUUACUGGGUGUAAAGGGUGAGUAGGCGGCAUGGUAAGCCAGAUGUGAAAGCCUUGGGCUUAACCCGAGGAUUGCAUUUGGAACUAUCAAGCUAGAGUACAGGAGAGG